ensembl:lncRNA
CCCCUAAUAUAGCGUGGUGGGAGAGCCGAAGGAAUACUUAUUGAAGUAGUCACAACGACGACAUCACUAGCUAGGCCGCAUAUUCCAUCGCCAGAUCCGAACCAAGCGAAGUGAAGGAAGACGGGUGUCCUUUUCGUACACUGAGUGUGGUGGGUGAGUCUUCGUGCUGUGAAAACCUAUAAUUUUGACGUGGUGUUGUAUAUUGCUGUGGGCUGCUGUGUAUUACGGGUGUCCUUUUUCGUACACUGAGUGUGGUGGGUG